AGAUUGAACGCUGGCGGCAGGCCUAACACAUGCAAGUCGAGCGGCAGCACGGGUACUCGUACCUGGUGGCGAGCGGCGGACGGGUGAGUAAUGCCUAGGAAUCUGCCUGGUAGUGGGGGAUAACGCUCGGAAACGGACGCUAAUACCGCAUACGUCCUACGGGAGAAAGCAGGGGACCUUCGGGCCUUGCGCUAUCAGAUGAGCCUAGGUCGAUUAGCUAGUUGGUGGGUAAUGGCUCACCAAGGCGACGAUCCGUAACUGGUCUGAGAGGAUGAUCAGUCACACUGGAACUGAGACACGGUCCAGACUCCGUAACGGGAGCAGCAGGUGGGAAUAUUGGACAAGUGGGACGAAAGCCGUAGAGUCCAGCCCAGUCGCCGACGUGUGGUAGAAG
rnacentral:rRNA from 1 species